rnacentral:rRNA from 1 species
AUUGAACGCUGGCGGCAUGCCUUACACAUGCAAGUCGAACGGUAACAGGUCUUCGGAUGCUGACGAGUGGCGAACGGGUGAGUAAUACAUCGGAACGUGCCCGAUCGUGGGGGAUAACGAAGCGAAAGCUUUGCUAAUACCGCAUAAGAUCUACGGAUGAAAGCAGGGGACCGCAAGGCCUUGCGCGAACGGAGCGGCCGAUGGCAGAUUAGGUAGUUGGUGGGAUAAAAGCUUACCAAGCCGACGAUCUGUAGCUGGUCUGAGAGGACGACCAGCCACACUGGGACUGAGACACGGCCCAGACUCCUACGGGAGGCAGCAGUGGGGAAUUUUGGACAAUGGGCGAAAGCCUGAUCCAGCCAUGCCGCGUGCAGGAUGAAGGCCUUCGGGUUGUAAACUGCUUUUGUACGGAACGAAAAGACUCUGGUUAAUACCUGGGGUCCAGGACGGUACCGUAAGAAUAAGCACCGGCUAACUACGU